GCCCAGACUCCUACGGGAGGCAGCAGUGGGGGAUAUUGCACAAUGGGGGGAACCCUGAUGCAGCGACGCCGCGUGGGUGAAGGAGUGCUUCGGCAUGUAAAGCCCUAUCGGCAGGGAAGAAGCAAGACGGUACCUGACUAAGAAGCCCCGGCUAACUACGUGCCAGCAGCCGCGGGAAUACGUAGGUGGCAAGCGUUAUCCGGAUUUAUUGGGUGUAAAGGGCGUGUAGGCGGAAUGCCAAGUCAGCGGUAAAAUCGCGGGGCUCAACCUCGCUCCGCCGUUGAAACUGGCGUUCUUGAGUGGGCGAGAAGUAUGCGGAAUGCGUGGUGUAGCGGUGAAAUGCAUAGAUAUCACGCAGAACUCCGAUUGCGAAGGCAGCAUACCGGCGCCCAACUGACGCUGAAGCACGAAAGCGUGGGUAUCGAGCAGGAUUAGAUACCCCCGUACU
rnacentral:rRNA from 1 species